AUUUUUCUCGUAUAGGAAAAUCUUAGAAGAUGAAGAUGGAAAUGACGAUGAGUCAAAAAGGGCUAGAGCAGUAAGCUAAUUUUCGAUGACAAUAUAUCUUGAAUUUUGAUAACCAAUAGUAUGGUUUGCUUCCCAUUCAAAAUUUGCAAUUUUGAGAAUAUACCAAGAUUUUAUGUUUUAUUCUUCAAUUUGACCCUAACUAUCCACUUCUAACCUUAUAUUGUUAACUUUUUAUUUAGAGUUUGCACUAAGGAAAAGAAUAUUCAACACCGUUCAUUUAGGUUCAGAGAUGACUACAAAAUUCUCUGGCAAUAAAAUAGAGAUGAUAUCUUAGCUGGUUUGAAAAAUAUCAAUUUUAAUUUUCUGGUAGGGCAUUUUAACUUUUGAGAAAUUAAUCACUUUCAUUUUCAAAUAUGUUUUUACUUGUAACAUUGGAACUUGGUAAUUGUUUCUUGGAAACAUAAAAUUAAUGCUUGUUCCUCUUGACGUCUUAUUCCCUAUCCAAAAAAUUAAAAUUAAAUAAAAAUGAAACAGAGUCUAAAAUUAGGGGCGGCGAACUGGAACCAUCUCUUGGGAAGUAGCAAGGGCAGAUUAAGGAGUUAUUAACAGUAUUUGGAAUUCAUGUAAAUACUUUUUGUUCUCUAAAUUCAUCCGCCGGUGUUUAUCUCUUCGAGGAAUUACCCUAUUGUUCUUUUUAAUUUCCAGAGAACGCAUAGCUCAGAGGAGUCCUGCUUCAAUACUCGUGGCUGUUCUUGAUCUUCAAGAUGGUUACACUUCAAAACAAGGUAAUUUUCAUUUCUUUCGUUUGUUUUUUGUUUACUUUAGAUAAGUUAUUAAUCGUUUAGAAUUUUUUACUUAUUCUGAUCCCUUUUUGUUCCUUUGGUAAUGAAUGACGAUGGAUAAAGAGUGAGAAAAAGAAGAUUGGGCUUUCUUAUGCAAUAAAAAUUAAAUCAUCACAGUUUAUUGCUGCAUUUACAGAGUUACAAAAUCACCUGCAAGUAUGCUUUUGAAAACGUAUGGAAGGAUGUUAUUACAACUCUGUGUAAUAGUCAACAACGUUGGUGUGUUUCUUGUUGUUAUCGCUACAUCUUCGAUUGAAUUGAGCCAUCUAUUCAUUUUUCUUCUAUCAUAUUGUUAAUCCAUAUUGAUCCACGAGGUUUUUAUCAAUUGCUUCUCUAAAUUAUGUCAACUGAAGGUGAUGUGUUUUCCAGAAUUACUUCAAGUGAAAUUCAUGAUGUUGGUGUUCUUGAAGCUUCAUUUCGACAACAUUGGUUGAUAACAAAUUGGAUAGUUCCUUUGAAUUCAAAAAAUAUAUGGAAGUUAUUACUUGGAUGUCUUAAUUAUUAAGUUGAGCACACUUAAUGAAUGUUAAAUCUUGUUGCCAUAUUUAAAUAAGCAGAAUCUGUAAAUUGAUUGGUUGAAGUUGUCUGAUAUGCUUACUAACCAUGUAAUAAGAAGUUCGUCAUCCAAGCUGGUGAUGUUGAUAGAC
rnacentral:lncRNA from 1 species